rnacentral:lncRNA from 1 species
GUCUUUCCUACGCGAUGGACAUCCUCACACUGUGAACCAAAGCAGUCCCUCCAUUGAGUUGCUUUUCAGCAUUUUUGUUCGGGUUUUGCAAUUCUGAAAAUCCAUCCCAGCCAAACAUUGAGUCAUGCCCCCAGUCCUUCAGUGGCCUUAUGUCACGGCAGUGAAAAGUGUCUGUCUCCAGAUGGCUCGUUAGACCCAAGGAGCAAUUCUCUUUCACUUAUAAUAUCUGCAAGUAUUUGAAUUGAUACUGGUGCACACAGGCUGACACUGAAGAUGCACACGUGCCAUUGAAAUAAACCAAGAGUAUUGUGUGGCUUCCAGAGCCCUGCCUGUACCUGCACCUUUUCCUCUUCCACUCAAGAACUCAUGUUAGCAGGGUUACAGACAACAUCAGCAAACUCUGGCUAGAAUUUGUUGGAUGAACAGUCAGAGCCUGAAAUUCAGGAGUUGGAGUGGCAAGCAGGUUGAUGCUACAGACUGGAUCUCCAGGGACAUCAGAAGCGCAGUGUUAUGGACCUUUCCUUUGUAGUGCUGAUGCCUUUAUUUGUUGUCUUUAGUGACCUGCCAUCGGUUUUCAGGAAGACUGGGCUGUGCCUACAGCACAAACACUGAUACCAUCACUUCUCUGUAUCGGGGCACUUCACAGGGCAAAGGGAAUGCUGGGAGAGCAAUACGUUUUUAAAGUUUUUUUUAAUUGAUAUACUUUAUUUGAAAUGUUAUAUAGUAUUGAAAACUAAUUGUAGAGACAACAGAUGUUAUUAAUUUAUAUAACUGUUUACCAUAAAAGAGAGACAUGAAAAGUA